UCGCGCACCUUUUUAACAGGCCACGAGCGCGUUCGAGUUUAAAAAUGGCGAAAAUUACUGAAAGUCUUGAACCUACCAACCUACCAAACGUGGACUGAAAUAAUAUCUAACACAUGACGAAUUGCCACUGAGCCGUUUGGAGUUUCAAUUCUGAUGUCUGGUUAACAUUCAUCACAUAAAGAGAUAUUCAAUUAUCAGUGAAAUAUAGCGCAACAUUUGAGCUCCGAAUGUUUAUAUGGAUGUCAUAGCUUGCUCAGAUGUUGUUGGAUGAACACUGACCUCACAUGCUUCAUGGCUGUAGGCCUGCGGUGUGUCAGGACCCCAUCUCUCUUGACUGUGUGUUUGUCUGUCAUGGCCCUCGGUGUUGUGAGAAGCUCAAUUACCCAGAACCCCCUGCACAGCGGUUUAUUAGGAGUGAUGGAGGGAUGGCACACAUCGGACAGCACGUCUGCACCAUUUCCCACAAGGCUGUUCACUUGCCUCUCCAUCAUGUAAUUCACCAUCUGUAGCAGCGGAGAUGGACACGAGCGAAACGGAGGGAUGAGAACGGUCCACACCUGAGAAGAGAACAAGAAAGAGGUGUUUAAUGAGGUGUGACAGCAGUUCAGCUUGAGCUACAGGAGUGACUCGGUGGAGAUGAGACCAGGUUUCUUCAUCAUCCUCAUCCUCA